rnacentral:rRNA from 1 species
UACGGGGGGUGCAAGCGUUGUCCGGAAUCAUUGGGCGUAAAGAGUUCGUAGGCGGCACGUAAAGUCUGGUGUUAAAGGCAGAGGCUCAACUUCUGUACGGCACUGGAUACUUGCGAGCUAGAAUGCGGUAGAGGUAAAGGGAAUUCCUGGUGUAGCGGUGAAAUGCGCAGAUAUCGGGAAGAACACCGGUGGCGAAGGCGGCCUUCUGGGCCAUCACUGACGCUGAGGCGCGAAAGCUAGGGGAGCAAACAGG